rnacentral:rRNA from 1 species
UACGGGGGGGGCAAGCGUUGUUCGGAAUUACUGGGCGUAAAGGGCUCGUAGGCGGCCAACUAAGUCAGACGUGAAAUCCCUCGGCUUAACCGGGGAACUGCGUCUGAUACUGGAUGGCUUGAGUUUGGGAGAGGGAUGCGGAAUUCCAGGUGUAGCGGUGAAAUGCGUAGAUAUCAGGAGGAACACCUGUGGUGUAGACAGCUUACUGGACCAUAACUGACGCUGAGGCACGAAAGCGUGGGUAGCAAACAGG